rnacentral:misc_RNA from 1 species
AGAAUAAGGAAAGCAGGGAAAUGAAGCUGAUUUUAACGAGGUUUUCUUCCUCUCCAGUGAGAAAGCUCUAGGCUCUACUCUAGCCUCGUCUUUUCACCCGCUUUUCUUCUGCCUGCAGCUGCAACUAGCCAAUCUCUCUCUCUUCCUCUGCGCGAGACAGUGAAGAAGCCGCCGACUCCUCAAUUGAAGACGCAGCUAGAAAAAGGUUUCAGGUGUAUACUUAUUGAUCUGGUCCUCUCCAUCUCUAAACUUCUAUCGGAUGGCCAUUAUACCUUGUGGAAGCACAUAUGUUGCUCAUUGGGGUUUUCGACCUCAGUUCAUGCUUAGAUCCUAUAUGAAAAAUGGGAUAGUGACCUCUCAAUAUGGUCCUAAUAACAAGAUGAGCUAUUUGGCAGCACCUAAUUCAAGCCUAUUUUCACGGGGUUCCUUCCCCAUUUUAUCUUAUGUGGGGCCAUCUCAAGCUUCACAUCGUCAUAGGGGAUCACGAUUUGCAGUUAGAGCUGAUGCUGAUUACUAUUCUAUACUUGGUGUGUCAAAAAAUGCAAGUAAAUCU